rnacentral:rRNA from 1 species
CUACGGGGUGCUCCAGUGAGGAAUAUUGCACAAUGGGGGGAACCCUGAUGCAGCAACGCCGCGUGGAGGAUGACGCAUUUCGGUGUGUAAACUCCUUUUAUAUGUCAAGAAGAUGACGGUAGCAUAUGAAUAAGCACCGGCUAACUCCGUGCCAGCAGCCGCGGUAAUACGGAGGGUGCAAGCGUUACUCGGAAUCACUGGGCGUAAAGGAAGCGUAGGCGGGUUGGAAAGUCAGGUGUGAAAUCCUACAGCUUAACUGUAGAACUGCACUUGAAACUUCUAAUCUAGAGUAUGGGAGGGGGAGAUGGAAUUAGUGGUGUUGGGGUAAAAUCCGUAGAUAUCACUAGGAAUACCUAAAGCGAAGGCGAUCUCCUGGAACAUUACUGACGCUAAGGCGUGAAAGCGUGGGGAGCAAACAGGAUUAGAUACCCCCGUAGUC